rnacentral:rRNA from 1 species
UACGUAGGGGGCAAGCGUUGUCCGGAAUCAUUGGGCGUAAAGAGCGUGUAGGCGGCUCGAUAAGUCCGCUGUGAAAGUCCAAGGGCUCAACCCUGGAAGGCCGGUGGAAACUGUCGGGCUAGAGUCCGGAAGAGGCGAGUGGAAUUCCCGGUGUAGCGGUGAAAUGCGCAGAUAUCAGGAGGAACACCGGUGGCGAAGGCGGGUCUCUGGGCAGUAACUGACGCUGGAGGAGCGAAAGCUAGGGGAGCAAACGGG